CCCUGCUGAUUUCUCCAUGACUUUUGCCUCUUACCGUUGGGAAAAAAAAGCAUUGUUAUCCUUGAAAAAAAGCACUGUUACUGUUAAUGGAUUGGAACGUUGGCCAACGGCUAUGAAAGAAUGUCUGAAAAAACACUGUUAUCGUUGGUGCUUUCAGUUUCACCUCUUAUAUAAUAAGAUAAACAGUUUAAUUAAUUUGUCUGUGGCUCUGUGUUUGCUAGAAGUCCCACGCCCACCGGGAUGACCAGGUGUAGGUAGAGACCAACCACUGUUAUUUAUCGCUGUGAUUCUUGGAAAUCUUUUUCCUCUUUCCAGUGAAAUCUCCAUCUAGUGCAUUGCGUGUGAGCCACUGCUUAGAUUUGUAGUCAAUGGAUUGGAUGCUGUGUCGGAUCUGGUCUUCCUCUACUCAAGAAAGCAGUCAUUUUGACUGAAAUUCAGAGGACAAGAAAUACUUCUGGAGGCUGUAUUAUUUCUCAUAAUUCCAUUUCACCUGCACAUGUUGAAUAUGGCAGUCAUACAGUAGGUGUCUCGAAGCAAUUCGCUCUUUCUAUCAUAAGGAACGAUCUGCGCUCUCAUUCUAAAUCCUCUAUGAUUUUUCUCGAGGGAUUCAAUAGAUUGCUUCACAAUAUUAAUCUUUAUCUUGUUCGGGAGGACAAUACAAAUCAUCUUUAGCUUGGCCUUCAACUUACCAUUGACUCGGGGGAUGACCAGGAGAGGAGACACAUACUGAUCACUUCAAAAACAUUCCGAUCAGCUUGCAUUGAAAACAUGAGAUGCUGAUAAUGUCUAGAUCUGGCUCAAGCAUUUGAUGUGCCAGAGAUAAUUGGCAUUCUCUGAUAUUAUUGAUAUAUACAUAAAUAUCUUUGCCAUGUGUGUAGAGUGAUGCUGGAGUAUCUCAAUAUUUAUUGCAGUCAAUGCAAAACUAAUUUUAAUUUUAUAGUUGUACUUUUGAAUCAAAUUGAUCAAGUAAUUUGUUGUUUAAUAUAAUUUUUUUAUUUGGGAGGGGUUGAGUUUGCCCCCUCCUCUAGGUUGGAAGGAAUUGUCAUUGGUCAUGAUCAUUCUCUUCAGUCUAAUGUCUUCAUAUUGAUUUUUAUAUUUUAUAUUAUAUAAAAUUCAACCUUACUUUUUAUUUAUAA